GACCACAAGCAACUUCCGGGCAGAUCGGAAUAUGUUAUGUUUACCACCGUAUCCUCACUGUCAAGAAAGCACUGCACCGGGCAUAUGCAGUAAGAGAAAUCUACACAUAAAGGUGUGAGAAAUCUACACAGACUCUUAAGGCACUUGAGACCAAGGUCCAUCCGUGUGAGAUCUGUUUUUGUAUCUGCUUGGUAUCCAGAACAGUGUCCUGCUCAUAUAGGAUUUGCUUAAAGAUAAGAGACAACUAAAGCUACAGGAAAGAGGAGCCCAAAUAUUAAGCCGUUCCCUUUCUCAUACGUCAAGUACAAAUGACAAAGUCCAACAACGUCGGCAAGUCCUGGCUCCACCACUCAUCUCAGCAGUUUUUAAUACAAACUAACACAAGGGUAGUCUCACUUCUGAUUCAGAAGAUGGGGCAUUAAAAAAAUGUAAACAAGCCCAUCCCUGUGCAGAGAAGCAUGAAAAGAGAGUCAUGUCCAAAGGACAGAACCCCAAAGGUUUUCUUACAUUAGAGACAACACGAAUGGCCUCACAUAGCCACUCCUCUAAGAAGGGAAAUAAGAGCAGAUAGAAGAAGAAACCUGAGCGGUCUGAUGUUUGAAAUACCUAGAAAAAGUGAUU